UUCCAUGGCGGGCGGUGCGUGGGGGUGCGUGCUUGCAUGCGCCCGCCGGGUUCCAGCAGUAACCGGUUUUUGCCGCCACGCACCGUCCGCCACCUUU
rnacentral:antisense_RNA from 1 species